GCUUCUUUUUCCACCGGAGCUUGCUCCACCGGAAAAAGAGGAGUGGCGAACGGGUGAGUAACACGUGGGUAACCUGCCCAUCAGAAGGGGAUAACACUUGGAAACAGGUGCUAAUACCGUAUAACAAUCAAAACCGCAUGGUUUUGAUUUGAAAGGCGCUUUCGGGUGUCGCUGAUGGAUGGACCCGCGGUGCAUUAGCUAGUUGGUGAGGUAACGGCUCACCAAGGCCACGAUGCAUAGCCGACCUGAGAGGGUGAUCGGCCACAUUGGGACUGAGACACGGCCCAAACUCCUACGGGAGGCAGCAGUAGGGAAUCUUCGGCAAUGGACGAAAGUCUGACCGAGCAACGCCGCGUGAGUGAAGAAGGUUUUCGGAUCGUAAAACUCUGUUGUUAGAGAAGAACAAGGAUGAGAGUAACUGUUCAUCCCUGAUCGAUUU
rnacentral:rRNA from 1 species